rnacentral:misc_RNA from 1 species
AACGCACAUUGCACUCUAGCUUGCUAGAGUAUGCCUCUUUCAGUGUCGGUUUAUACCAUACUCUCUGCCGGGCGGUAAAACGCUUUUCGUACGCAGAGGACGAUCUGAGCGUCGCUGAUGUUAAGUCAUCAACGUCGCUUGAAGUAUUAGGCGGUGGUCGUAAAGGCCUCUUCCCUCCAUGCGAUUUGGUCUUGUACCCGAUUCGCCAAUGUGACAAUUCGCCUCGUUUGCGAUCUUCCAUUGGCUUGAGUCUAGUCGAAACCUGAAUGUGUGAACGGUGAAGGUCGCUGCCCACGUCGCUCGUACUGCGAGUCGAUGUGAAUAUCAUUCAAACCAUUCGACCUGAAAUGAGGUAAGGUUACCCGCUGAACUUAA